CAUUUAAUAUUUCCUUCCCGUUUGUCUCGCCAUUUCUGUUGAUCCGAGUAGAAGAAAGUUGUGUGUAUUAAAUCUGUUACUAUAACAACGACACUUCAACAAGUUGUCAACCAUCAGAAUCUUAAUUUCCACCUGCCUUGUAAUGUACAAAUAGGUGAACACAACAACAUACAAAAUAAUCUGACUAACCAACUAAAAGAAAAUGUCGAAAAAAUGAAGAAUGAAAUACAACAACUCCAAUCAGAUAGAGUCAAGCUGACAAGCUACAGUGUCAAGCUGACAAGAUACAGAGGCAGGCUGACGAGAUACAUAGACUCAAGUCAAGGGAUAAAAUUGUGGAAGAUAAAACAGGAAUCAAGAAAACGGAUAAAAAUAUAAAUAAAGAAAAGGGUGAUAUAAUAACCCUGACUGCAAAAUGGCUUGGUAAUAUGACUAUAAGUGUAAGUAGAGAUAAAACUGUAAGAGAACUAGAACCUAUAAUAAAGGAGGAGUGCAGAAGGAAGUAUGAUAUAGAUUGUGUUUGUUGUAUUACUAGUAUCUAUAAUGUAAAACAGAAGAAGGGCAUCUACCAGAUCUAUAACAACAACAAUACAGAUCUAUCAUUAUCACUGUAUGGUGUACAGGAUGGUGAUAUAUUCUACUGGGAGUGGUAGUCUGUUUGAUUUAAUGGUUUUAAAAUCAAACACUUACUAUAAAACAAUAUUAAACAUUUAACUUUAAGAUAUAAUGGUGGUGUGAGAAGUAGUCUGUUUGAUUGUAUUGAGUUGAUGGUAUUAAAAUCAAACAUACUUACUAGAAAACAAUAUUAAACAUUUACUAUUACCAUCUUCUGGUUAUGAUA